GGGCCAAUACGAAAGCCUCAGCUCAUCUUGAAGAGACAGAAAGACACAAAAAUCAUGCUUAAUAGGAUUCUACUGAGGCUA
rnacentral:snoRNA from 1 species